CUUGCUCUGCCUGAGGCAAGACAGACCUUUGUGUGCAUCAAGUCCCCUCCUGGACCCAGAAUCUGUAUGAGCUUCUCUGCUGUGAGUACACGGCAGCAAUUAAAGCAUUGCCACAUAGAAAUGCUGAGCACAGUUUGUAAAAUCAGCAGGAGCAAGGAGUGCUCAGCAAAUCUGAAAACAAUGCCACAGG